rnacentral:misc_RNA from 1 species
UGGAACUAAUGAAUUUUAUUUUUUAUUGCAUAUUAAAUAGGGGCAUAAAGUAAAUUAAUAAAUAAACUACUAUUCCAAUAUAGAAAAUGGACUAUAAUUCAUGGCAGGUGAAAAAAGAAAGUAAGCUUAUCUUUAUGGGACUGAGGGAGUAAUAAUCAUGUAUAACAAUUCAUGUUAAAAAGACAAAGCAAGAGUUUUGUCUUAUUCUAAUAAGUAGGAUGAUGAAAAUUGCACAGCCAUUUGAAUUACUAUUGACAGUUGCAAAAGAUCCUUACAACUAAAUUCCAUACACCUACUUAAUUACAUACAGCAAUUAGCAAAAUAACACAUUUAUCGCAUUAAAUAAUAUGGCAGCUACUAAUUAUUAUUACUACUGUCCCACAAAGAUAGGCUUCUAUUUUCAUAGUUUAAGAAAAUGUAGUUAA